rnacentral:rRNA from 1 species
GAUGAACGCUGGCGGCGUGCCUAAUACAUGCCAGUCGAGCGAACAGAUGAGGAUCUUGCUCCACUGACGUUAGCGGCGGACGGGUGAGGAACACGUGGAUAACCUACCUAUAAGACUGGGAUAACUUCGGGAAACCGGAGCUAAUACCGGAUAAUAUAUUGAAGCGCAUGGUGCAAUAGUGAAAGACGGUUUUGCUGUCACUUAUAGAUUGAUAUGCGCUGCAUUAGCUAGUUGGUAAGGUAACGGCUUACCAAGACAAGGAGGGGUAGCCGACGGGAGCGGGGGGUAGCCGACCCUGGAGCGGGGCCAGCGUCCAGGCGACUGCGGGAGGGAGCAGUCGGGAACCGUACGCAGUGGGGGAGAAUCUUGCGGAGCGGCGGAGAGCGAGUGAUGAAGGUUCUGGGAUCGUAAAGAUCUGUUAUGGGGGAUGAACAAAUGUCUGCGUAAAUGUGCACAUCUUGACGGUACCUACACAGAAAGCCCCGGCUAACUACGUG